rnacentral:rRNA from 1 species
AGUCGAGCGGAAGAUGGGAGCUUGCUCCCUGAUGUUAGCGGCGGACGGGUGAGUAACACGUGGGUAACCUGCCUGUAUAACUGGGAUAACUCCGGGAAACCGGGGCUAAUACCGGAUGGUUGUUUGAACCGCAUGGUUCAAACAUAAAAGGUGGCUUCGGCUACCACUUACAGAUGGACCCGCGGCGCAUUAGCUAGUUGGUGAGGUAACGGCUCACCAAGGCAACGAUGCGUAGCCGACCUGAGAGGGUGAUCGGCCACACUGGGACUGAAACACGGCCCAGACUCCUACGGGAGGCAGCAGUAGGGAAUCUUCCGCAAUGGACGAAAGUCUGACGGAGCAACGCCGCGUGAGUGAUGAAGGUUUUCGGAUCGUAAAGCUCUGUUGUUAGGGAAGAACAAGUACCGUUCGAAUAGGGCGGUAUCUUGACGGUACCUAACCAGAAAGCCACGGCUAACUACGUGCCAGCAGCCGCGGUAAUACGUAGGUGGCAAGCGUUGUCCGGAAUUAUUGGGCGUAAAGGGCUCGCAGGCGGUUUCUUAAGUCUGAUGUGAAAGCCCCCGGCUCAACCGGGGAGGGUCAUUGGAAACUGGGGAACUUGAGUGCAGAAGAGGAGAGUGGAAUUCCACGUGUAGCGGUGAA